rnacentral:lncRNA from 1 species
GAAAGUUGCACGGUUUGGUGCUCGUGAGCUCGUCGCUCAUGUCGUUGGUGUAGGUGAGUUCGAACCGUUCGAACUUCGAGAAGUUAGUCGGUCGGUUCGAGCUGUUCCAGAGAUUGCUUAGAGUUCGAGACCACGCGUGUUUCUCUUCAUUCUCGAACGGAGAAAACUUCGGCCUUUGUAUGUCGGUACUGUGACGUGCGAUAUGCCAACAAGUGCAAUGUGCAGCGGCACAUACAAAAUGUGCGCAAGGUAAACAUCACGCUGCCGAAGUACGAGUGUGAUGAAGUUUUCUUUAGUAUGAAUAACUUCCAACCGGUGUGCCAGGAGCGUCGCUUUCUGACAACGGCAGACUUGAAGACGUGGAAGGAAACAGUGGAGGAGGAGACUCGCACCUGCUUCGUUUCAAAAGGAAGUUUGUGGCAAAUGCAAUCAAAGAAGAUCUCGCACUUCCCCUGUCACCGGUCUGAAAGCUACACCUCACAAGGUGUGGAGCAGUGAACACGAAAGGCUGCUUGACAGUUAGAACGACGAGGCAUAGUUGACCAGCGAGGCACGUUUCUGACAUUCUAGGCCCUGGCAAGGAAGUACCUCGCAGUCCGAUGAAUUUCGAAAGAAAUGCAAGGUUGUCCUCUUGGCACGAGUUCAGCGGGAUG